GGAACUGGAGUCAGUUGGCUGCUUUGUGAAGAAGAAAGAGUCAGUGCUCUGAGGAAUAGCCCACAAGAAACACCAAGAAGAUCACAGGCUAAAAAGAAUAUCACCCCACUGAAAACAGUUUGCCUUACCUCCAGCACAGAUCACGAUAGCCAGUUUAACAUCAACAAUGAAACUCACCCUGUGACAGGAGAUGCAGGUAUUUUGUGUGAAGAAGCUAUGUUAUGGCCAGGCUGCACAACAACCCUCCUUCUCUUGUUUGGAUUUAAACCAUAGCUCUCAUGCUGGAAUACCUCAUCUAGUGGUUUUCCAAGACAGAAUGAGCUCUGUCCUCAGGAACUUAUUUGGAGCAUGUAAGAAAAGGCAUGUGUUUCAUCUUUGCCUGUGAAAAUGAAGUUCUCCCUCUGCUCAUUAUCUGAACAAGAAGCUCUCAUCUUCUUGGGCUAUUAUACACUACAUACAGAUGGGUAAUAGCUCUGCUGUCACAUCACCUUUUCUGUAACCUGCUGUGCACAAUGCCUGCCACAUCAUUAAUCUCAACUUUUUGAGACCUGGAUUCUGGAGCAGGUUCUCUUCUAAGGAGCCUUCCUGUGGUGAAUAAAUAAGUUAAAAGAUCUCAGUGGACUCCAACAGAUUUUUGACUUGGGGAGGAAAGGAAGGGUUGAAGAAAAUGUUUCUUCAAAAGCAGUAACUCACAUCCUUUAGUAAUUUCUAAUGAUUGGAAUGAAGAGGAAAAUGGACUUGAAUACAGUGAGGAUAUUUUUUGUGUUCUCUGCGUGAAUUAUUUUGUGUUCUCUGCAUGAAUUAUUAACUAAAAUGGUAUUUCUAAGAAUACCUAUAAUGUUGCCACAAUAACAAUGAAAAUGCCUUAUCAAAGAAGCUACAAAAUUGAACAGUGAAAUAUUUAUUUGAGGAUUGUUGCUCUAGCUUUCAGAGACUUGAAUGUAA